rnacentral:rRNA from 1 species
GACGAACGCUGGCGGCGUGCCUAAUACAUGCAAGUCGAGCGGAUUGAUGGGAGCUUGCUCCCUGAUAUCAGCGGCGGACGGGUGAGUAACACGUGGGCAACCUGCCUAUAAGACUGGGAUAACUUCGGGAAACCGGAGCUAAUACCGGAUAAUCCCUUUCCUCUCAUGAGGAAAGGCUGAAAGAUGGUUUACGCUAUCACUUAUAGAUGGGCCCGCGGCGCAUUAGCUAGUUGGUGAGGUAACGGCUCACCAAGGCAACGAUGCGUAGCCGACCUGGGAGGGUGAUCGGCCAAACUGGGACUGAGACACGGCCCAGACUCCGACGGGAGGCAGCAGUAGGGAAUCUUCCGCAAUGGACGAAAGUCUGACGGAGCAACGCCGCGUGAGUGAUGAAGGUUUUCGGAUCGUAAAACUCUGUUGUUAGGGAAGAACAAGUACGAGAGUAACUGCUCGUACCUUGACGGUACCUAACCAGAAAGCCACGGCUAACUACGUGCCAGCCGCCGCGGUAA